rnacentral:miRNA from 1 species
UGUGUGUGUGUAUGUGUGUGUGUGCAAGUGCACACACACACACACACACACACACU